UGGGGAAUAUUGGGCAAUGGGCGAAAGCCUGACCCAGCAACGCCGCGUGAAGGAAGAAGGUCUUCGGAUUGUAAACUUCUGUCAUUGGGGACGAAACAAAUGACGGUACCCAAGGAGGAAGCCCCGGCUAACUACGUGCCAGCAGCCGCGGUAAUACGUAGGGGGCGAGCGUUGUCCGGAAUUACUGGGCGUAAAGGGUGCGUAGGCGGCAAUACAAGUCCAUUGUGAAAAGCCCGGGCUUAACCUGGGAGGUGCAGUGGAAACUGUAUAGCUUGAGUGCAGGAGAGGAAAGUGGAAUUCCUAGUGUAGCGGUGAAAUGCGUAGAUAUUAGGAGGAACACCAGUGGCGAAGGCGACUUUCUGGACUGUAACUGACGCUGAGGCACGAAAGCGUGGGGAGCAAACA
rnacentral:rRNA from 1 species